rnacentral:rRNA from 1 species
CACGUAGGGCGCAAGCGUUGUCCGGAAUUAUUGGGCGUAAAGAGCUCGUAGGCGGUCUGUUGCGUCCGCUGUGAAAACCCGGGGCUUAACCCCUGGCUUGCAGUGGAUACGGACAGACUAGAGGUAGGUAGGGGAGAAUGGAAUUCCCGGUGUAGCGGUGAAAUGCGCAGAUAUCGGGAGGAACACCGGUGGCGAAGGCGGCGACCUGGUUCGUGACUGACGCUGAGGCGCGAAAGCGUGGGGAGCGAACAGG